CCUACGGGAGGCAGCAGUCGAGAAUCAUUCACAAUGGGGGAAACCCUGCUGGUGCGACGCCGCGUGGGGGAAUGAAGGUCUUCGGAUUGUAAACCCCUGUCAUGUGGGAGCAAAUUAAAAAGAUAGUACCACAAGAGGAAGAGACGGCUAACUCUGUGCCAGCAGCCGCGGUAAUACAGAGGUCUCAAGCGUUGUUCGGAAUCACUGGGCGUAAAGCGUGCGUAGGCUGUUUCGUAAGUCGUGUGUGAAAGGCGCGGGCUCAACCCGCGGAGGGCACUUGAUAAUGCGAGACUAGUGUAAUGGAGGGUGAACCGGAAUUCUCGGUGUAGCAGUGAAAUGCGUAGAUGGCGAGAGGAACACUCGUGGCGAAGGCGGGUUCCUGGACAUUAACUGACGCUGAGGCACGAAGGCCAGGGGAGCGAAAGGGAUUAGAUACCCCAGUAGUC
rnacentral:rRNA from 1 species